rnacentral:rRNA from 1 species
CAAUAGCGUAUAUUUAAGUUGUUGCAGUUAAAAAGCUCGUAGUUGGAUUUCGGAUGGGAUUUGCCGGUCCGUCGUUUCGAUGUGCACUGGCCAGUCCUAUCUUGUUGUCGGGGACUAGCUCCUGGGCUUCACUGUCCGGGACUAGGAGCUGACGAGGUUACUUUGAGUAAAUUAGAGUGUUCAAAGCAAGCCUACGCUCUGAAUACAUUAGCAUGGAAUAACACGAUAGGACUCUGGCUUAUCUUGUUGGUCUGUGAGACCAGAGUAAUGAUUAAGAGGGACAGUCGGGGGCAUUCGUAUUUCAUUGUCAGAGGUGAAAUUCUUGGAUUUAUGAAAGACGAACUUCUGCGAAAGCAUUUGUCAAGGAUGUUUUCAUUAA